UUAUCCAUAAUAUAGGUACAUUAAUGAGAAUGGCAAUACAGAUCUCUCCAUACUGCCCUGCCAAUGUACCUCUUGCUAUGGAAGGGCCACAUCUGUAGAGAA
rnacentral:sRNA from 1 species